UACGAAGGGAGGUAGCGUUGUUCGGAAUUACUGGGCGUAAAGGGCGCGUAGGCGGCUUGGCAAGUUGGGUGUGAAAGCCCAGGGCUCAACCCUGGAAUUGCACUCAAGACUGCCUUGCUUGAAUUCGGUAGAGGUUGGUGGAAUUCCCAGUGUAGAGGUGAAAUUCGUAGAGAUUGGGACGAACACCCGUGGCGAAGGCGGCCAACUGGACCGACAUUGACGCUGAGGCGCGAACGCGUGGCGAGCAAACAGG
rnacentral:rRNA from 1 species